AUGCUUGCUUCAGCAGCAUACGUACAAAAAUCAAAAUGAUAUAGAGAAGAUUAGCAUGGACCAUGCAAAAAGGAUGAAACACAAAUUCAUGAAGCAUUCUGUUAUUUU